rnacentral:tRNA from 1 species
GGAUUUAGCUCAGUGGUAGAGCGCUUGCCUAGCAAGCAUAAGGCCCUGGGUUCGGUCCCCAGCUCCG